rnacentral:rRNA from 1 species
UGGGGAAUAUUGGACAAUGGGCGAAAGCCUGAUCCAGCCAUGCCGCGUGUGUGAAGAAGGUCUUCGGAUUGUAAAGCACUUUAAGUUGGGAGGAAGGGCAGUAAAUUAAUACUUUGCUGUUUUGACGUUACCGACAGAAUAAGCACCGGCUAACUCUGUGCCAGCAGCCGCGGUAAUACAGAGGGUGCAAGCGUUAAUCGGAAUUACUGGGCGUAAAGCGCGCGUAGGUGGUUCGUUAAGUUGGAUGUGAAAUCCCCGGGCUCAACCUGGGAACUGCAUUCAAAACUGACGAGCUAGAGUAUGGUAGAGGGUGGUGGAAUUUCCUGUGUAGCGGUGAAAUGCGUAGAUAUAGGAAGGAACACCAGUGGCGAAGGCGACCACCUGGACUGAUACUGACACUGAGGUGCGAAAGCGUGGGGGAGCAAAACA